rnacentral:ncRNA from 2 species
AUGAAAAUAAUGUGAGAUAACUUUUGUUAACCGAAGAAGCAAUGUUAAACUACCACAAGUUUAAUAGAAACUUUCAGGUAAAUGUAACAUUAUAGGACG